UAUAUAUGGCUGGUGGCUGGUUUG
rnacentral:piRNA from 1 species